rnacentral:misc_RNA from 1 species
GAUGAAGAACGUAGCGAAAUGCGAAAGUUAAUGCGAAUUGCAGAAUUCAGUGAAUCAUCGAGUUUUUGAACGCACAUUGCGCCCGCCGGCACUCCGGCGGGCAUGCCUGUCCGAGCGUCUUUUCGCACUGAAAUCGAGCCCGUCAGGGGCGUCGGUGUUGGACCGUUCCGGCCGCCUCGGUCGGAGGUCUUCAGAACGCAUCCCACCGGGCGGUCGCCGCCGACCGACCCUGGAGUCGCCGGACGGCGUGGCUCCGGAGGUCGGGGCGCACCACCCGGUGCAUCAUCCGUCGGGCGCCCCCAGGGCCCGAUCUGUCCACCGUUCGACCUCGGAUCAGGUAGGGUUACCCGCUGAACUUAAGCAUAUCAAUAAGCGGAGGA